UUUUGGAUCAUCUUUUUUUAUAGUUUUAUCAUCGCUUUUACAUCUUUAAUUUGUUCUUUGGAAAAGGUUUAUUUCAAAUCAUCAUAGCUUUAUUUUUUCAUCAAGUCAUGGUAACAGGCGUGUACGCUGGUGGAAUGCAUCCAACACGCAUCCUCAAUUUUUAUUAACGCGCAGCGCAACCAGUCAGCUGUUUCCAAAGACGUUUAAAUAUAAUUACUAGACGGAAAGCAGCACGCGCGGAAACCAUGCAGACGAAUGUGAUUAGGCUCCGCCUCUUUUGGAUCAUUUGAAGACAAAAUAAGCACCCGAGGCGGCUUUUUGAUUGGAUAUGAGCCUCAUGAAUAUGUAUUUUAUCGAUAGUAUCGUUUAAGAAACCGGAUAAUAUAUUUGACCUCAUUGCGUCACUUUAAUUAUGCAGAUUUAUGCACGACGCAGGCUACUCGCACAAACUGAGAAGAUUUAGUUCAUUGAGAAUGGAUGGAAACUGAUGAAGAGCUGGAAGGAGCUAACUGAUGAGUAGACAUUACAACAUUUCUUAUAUUUUCAAGAUGAAGCUGAAAGUCCCAUGCAGGAUGAUGCUUCUCUACAGUGGAUGAUGAAAGCAUGCUGAUUACAAACCCAGGAGAGGAAUAAAGAACAGAUAUUGACAGAAUCAUAUCUAGAGAUGUGGGCCUACUGCACUUCAUACAAGCAAGUGUGCUAAUAUACCAUACUUGGGUUAUCAUCACAGCUCUUUCUUCUGAAAACUAGCCUACAACUUCAUCGAUGAAUGCAGAAGACAUCUACUUGGGACUACGUCUUAAAGAUGCCCC